rnacentral:rRNA from 1 species
AUUGAACGCUGGCGGCAGGCUUAACACAUGCAAGUCGAGCGGGGUGAUGGUGCUUGCACUAUCACUUAGCGGCGGACGGGUGAGUAAUGCUUAGGAAUCUGCCUAUUAGUGGGGUACAACAUCUCGAAAGGGAUGCUAAUACCGCAUACGUCCUACGGGAGAAAGCAGGGGAUCACUUGUGACCUUGCGCUAAUAGAUGAGCCUAAGUCGGAUUAGCUAGUUGGUGGGGUAAAGGCCUACCAAGGCGACGAUCUGUAGCGGGUCUGAGAGGAUGAGCCGCCACCCUGGGACUGAGACACGGCCCAGACUCCUACGGGAGGCAGCAGUGGGGAAUAUUGGACAAUGGGGGGAACCCUGAUCCAGCCAUGCCGCGUGUGUGAAGAAGGCCUUAUGGUUGUAAAGCACUUUAAGCGAGGAGGAGGCUCUUUUGGUUAAUACCCAAGAUGAGUGGACGUUACUCGCAGAAUAAGCACCGGCUAACUCUGUGCCAGCCGCCGCGGUAA